GAGGCUCUGUUUGUGUUUGGAUAAGGCCGAGGGAAGAGAGCUCGAGCGGCGGAGCGGAGUAGGUGAUUCCAUAUGUUCAUGGCGAGUCCAUUCCUCCACCGCAGGAUUUUGAUUUCUCAUCCCUUUCUCUUCGAUCUCCGGCUUCCGCGGGCUUCUGCUGCUGCUUCUGCGGCUGUUGUAUCUUGUUGAUGCAUUUCUUGCCAUGUCUGCAGAAUUUUCAAUGUAAGAAGGUGAGGCGGGUGAAGGGGUUGAAGAAUAUGGGUACAAGUAGAAGUGUUUCUGACCUGGUGAUCUUCCUGGGUUUUCCCCCAAUGUUUUGGCUGUUUGGUGGGUCGCAAGCUGAUGGGCAGUUGUUCGCUAUGGUCCAAGGUAUUGUGGUUCAGGUUUAGUUGAAACCGGGUAACAGUUUAGCCCGACCCGUUUUU